CUCGUAGGCGGUUCAGUAAGUCGGGUGUGAAAACUUUGGGCUUAACCCAAAGCGUGCAUCCGAUACUGCUGUGACUUGAGUUCGGUAGGGGAGUGGGGAAUUCCUAGUGUAGCGGUGAAAUGCGCAGAUAUUAGGAGGAACACCGGUGGCGAAGGCGCCACUCUGGGCCGAAACUGACGCUGAGGAGCGAAAGCAUGGGUAACAAAACA
rnacentral:rRNA from 1 species